rnacentral:rRNA from 1 species
GCCAGACUCCUACGGGAGGCAGCAGUGAGGAAUAUUGGUCAAUGGCCGGAAGGCUGAACCAGCCAAGCCGCGUGAAGGACGAAGGUGCCAAGCAUUGUAAACUUCUUUUGUCAAGGGACAAAAUCAGGCUCGAGAGCCUGACCGAGAGUACUUGAAGAAAAAGCAUCGGCUAACUCCGUGCCAGCAGCCGCGGUAAUACGGAGGAUGCGAGCGUUAUCCGGAUUUAUUGGGUUUAAGGGGUGCGUAGGCGGACUGUUAGGUCAGCGGUAAAACCCCGGGGCUCAACCCCGGCGAGCCGUUGAAACUGGCGUUCUUGAGUGGGCGAGAAGUAUGCGGAAUGCGUGGUGUAGCGGUGAAAUGCAUAGAUAUCACGCAGAACUCCGAUUGCGAAGGCAGCAUACCGGCGCCCAACUGACGCUGAGGCACGAAAGCGUGGGUAUCGAACAGGAUUAGAUACCCCAGUA